CCUUCAAUAUUCUGGGUUUUUAUCUUUGUAUUUUUUUUAUUUUUGUUUUGCUAAAGAGACUGCUAUUUUGUCAUACAGAAUUCCUACAAUCUGACUUCUGCUGAUUGCAUCUCCAUAGUGAGAUAUAGAAGAAAGACACUGCUGAAAUGCAUCACUGAAGCCUAACCUGGAACUUGUAAGAAUGAGUGCUACCCAGGCAACAAAGAAGAAAGUAAAUGCAAAGACAGUCUUGAAAAAAGUGAAACGAUGUGUCCUCUCUCACUCACCUGAUGCCUAUUCUGAGGUAGACUCAUCUCAGAUUGUUCACUGAGGUCCUCACCAUGAAAAAGGAUAUAACCAGGAAGAGGGCUGUCACCAGGAACCAAAUUGACUGGCACCUUGAUCUUGGACUACCCAACCUCCAGAACUGUGAUAAAUAGAUUUCUGUUGUUUAAGGCAUCCAGACUAUGGUAUCUUGUUUCAACAGCCUGCACUAAGAGUAUGUAUGGUAUGCUACCAUUUAUUUAAGAAAGAGUUGAGUUUGAUAAGUAAGUUCUUUAUAGAUUUUGGAUACUAGCCCUUUAUCUGUAUGUCACUUGCAAAUAUCUUCUCCCAUUCCAUUGGUGUCCUUUCAGUUUUGUUGAUUGUUUCUUUUGCUGUGCAGAAGCUUCUUUUCUUGAUGAGGUCCCAAAAGUUCAUUUUUGCUUUUGUUUCCCUUUUCUCCAGAGACAUGUCUAGUAAGAAGUUGCUGAGGCCAAGGUCAAAGAGGUUGCUUUCUAUUUUCUCCUCUAGGAUUUCGAUGGUUUCCUGUCUCAAAUUUAAGUCUUUCAUCCAUUUUGAGUUUAUUUUUGUGUAUGGGUAAGAAAGUGGUCCAGGUUCAUUCUUAUGCAUGUCGCUGUCCAGUUUUCCCAGCACAAUUUGCUGAAGAGACUGUCUUUUUUCCAUUGAAUACUCUUUACUGCUUUGUCAAAGAUUAACUGGCCAUACCUAUGUGGGUCCAUUUCUGGGUUCUCAAUUCUGUUACAGCGAUCUAAGUGUCUGUUUUAGUGCCAAUAUCAUACUGUCUUACAACUUUGCAAUACAGCUUGAAGUCCGGAAUGGUGAUGCCCCCCCUUUGGUUUUCUUUUUCAACAUUAUUCUGGCUAUUCUGGGUCUUUUCUGGUUUCAUACAAUUUGUAGAAUUGUUUGUUCUAGCUCUGGGAAGAAUGCUGGUGUUAUUUUGAUAGAGACUGCAUUGAAUGUAUAGCUUGCUUUGGGUAGUAUAGACAUUUUAACAAUAUUUAAGAAACAAAACAGAUGAACAUUGGGUAAGGAAAGAAAAAAUAAGAUAAAAACAGAGAGGAAGGCAAACCAUAAGAGACUCUUAAAUACAGAGAAUAAACUUAGGGUUGCUGGAGGGGAGGUGGAUGGAGGCAUGGGCUAAGCAUUAAGAAGGGCACUUGUUAGGAUGAUGAUUGGGUGUUGUAUGUAAGUGAUGAAUCACUGGGUUCUACUCCUGAAAUCAAUACUACACUGUAUGUUAACUAACUUGAAUUUAAACAAAU